GACGGAGGGCGCAAGCGUUGUCCGGAAUUACUGGGCGUAAAGCGUGCGCAGGCGGCCUGUUAAGUCCUUUGUGAAAUCCCGGGGCUCAACCCCGGAAUCGCAGAGGAUACUGGCAGGCUAGAGAACGGUAGAGGCUAACGGAAUUCCCGGUGUAGCGGUGGAAUGCGUAGAUAUCGGGAAGAACACCAGUGGCGAAGGCGGUUAGCUGGGCCGUGUCUGACGCUCAUGCACGAAAGCGUGGGGAGCAAACAGG
rnacentral:misc_RNA from 1 species